UUCCGUUAGGGGGGACCUGCGGAGGGAUCAUUACACAACAAAAUAUGAAGGUCUGGCUUCGCGGCCGGCUGAAAUAUUUUUUUCACCCAUGUCUUUUGCGCACUUGUUGUUUCCUGGGCGGGUUCGCCCGCCACCAGGACCAAACCAUAAACCUUUUUUUUUAUGCAGUUGCAAUCAGCGUCAGUAAAAACAAUGUAAUUAAUUACAACUUUCAACAACGGAUCUCUUGGUUCUGGCAUCGAUGAAGAACGCAGCGAAAUGCGAUACGUAGUGUGAAUUGCAGAAUUCAGUGAAUCAUCGAAUCUUUGAACGCACAUUGCGCCCUUUGGUAUUCCAAAGGGCAUGCCUGUUCGAGCGUCAUUUGUACCUUCAAGCUUUGCUUGGUGUUGGGCGUUUUUGUCUCCCUCUUUCUGGGAGACUCGCCUUAAAACGAUUGGCAGCCGGCCUACUGGUUUCGGAGCGCAGCACAUAAUUUGCGCUUUGUAUCAGGAGAAAAGGACGGUAAUCCAUCAAGACUCUACAUUUUUAACUUUUGACCUCGGAUCAGGUAGGGAUACCCGCUGAACUUAAGCAUAUCAAAAACCCGGAGGAAA
rnacentral:rRNA from 1 species